GGUUGGCACAAGAACAGUCAUGAAUGCCUCACCCUGGCAGGGUGUUUAUACUGCAUUUGUAAUAACCGCAGUAAAAGUAUGAUAAUUUCAAAAUAUAAAUAUGCUGUAGGACAGACAAUUUUUACAGAUAAUUUAAAAUAAAUUUUAAGGUUGUUAUGAUUGUUUGAUUCACAGGGUUCUGGACAUGCAUGACAUAAAUACCGUUAAAUUCAUGAGCCCUUGGUUUGCUUAAAACAAUGGAACACUACCAGUAGAUACAUUUAUAAAUAUGUUGCCGUCAGAUAUCUUUUCUGUUUUAAGAAUUAUCUUAUUCAUGUUAAGAAGAAAGAGAGGGGUUGGGUUCAUAAAUUCUU
rnacentral:lncRNA from 1 species